UACGAAGGGGGCGAGCGUUGAUCGGAAUUACUGGGCGUAAAGCGCACGUAGGCGGACUGUUAAGUCGGGGGUGAAAGCCCAGAGCUCAACUCUGGAAUUGCCUUCGAUACUGGCAGUCUUGAGGACGGGAGAGGUGAGUGGAAUUCCUAGUGUAGAGGUGAAAUUCGUAGAUAUUAGGAAGAACACCAGUGGCGAAGGCGGCUCACUGGUCCGUUUCUGACGCUGAGGUGCGAAAGAGUGGGGAGCAAACAGG
rnacentral:rRNA from 1 species